rnacentral:rRNA from 1 species
UACGGAGGGACUAGCGUUGUUCGGAAUUACUGGGCGUAAAGCGCACGUAGGCGGAUUUGUAAGUCAGGGGUGAAAUCCCGGGGCUCAACCUCGGAACUGCCUUUGAUACUGCAAAUCUCGAGUCCGGAAGAGGUGAGUGGAAUUCCUAGUGUAGAGGUGAAAUUCGUAGAUAUUAGGAAGAACACCAGUGGCGAAGGCGGUCUGCUGGGCCGUUGCUGACGCUGAGGCGCGACAGCGUGGGGAGCAAACAGG